AUUUAUUUUUAUCCAGAUAACGAUAUCGUUGCGCGUCUUUGGAUCUCCGUCCGGACGGUUAUUGUUCUAGGGAAUAACUAUCGCUCCAAUCGCAACAAUAACGAUAUUGUUGUCUACAGAAAACGCCGAGUCGACGAUAUUAUAAUACUUGGACGCCCAGUGCGCGAAACCGAGCGUACGGUCGGCAAAGCCAGGCGCGGUGCGCCGCGGUUAUAUUAUAGCCGUAGCGCGGAAAGUUACCGAUUUCGCGUACAUAAAUCACUUUAAACUCGAAGCUUAGCGCAGCGACUUACAGUCGAAAAGUUAGGUUCUGAGUUAACUGCCUAUGUAUUAAUAAUACGGUGACUGCAUUUUGGCUAUUAGUCGGACGGUAUCGCCGGUAGGCGGGCCGCUGUUUUUGGAGCGGCGAAAGGGUGGACGCUGUACGGCACGCGCGCGUGUCAAACCGUCGCUCGCGGAAAGCGAUUCUGAGCCGAGCGCCGUCAAUGUUACCGAUUGUACUGUCCGCUUUUCACCCGCGCCGGCAGUCUUUUUCUCUGUUGGCCGCGGCCAGAUACGGUGAGUAAACCCCUAUGUAUUAUUAUAAUAUCACGUAUCACGCGCGUGAGUAUUUUAUUUUUACAGUUUCUACAGGUAUACCGGUAUCGCUGUCUAUUUUAUUUUUCGUUAAUAUUAUAUCAUUUUCAGUGCAUUUUCAAGCGCGUAUAUAAAUGUCGUUAAACGUUUUCAACAACGUUUAUUGCGUUCAUAACAAUUUUUUUUUAAAGUCACAAGUCACGGGCCCCGGUCAUUAUAUUACCUACAUAAAAACUCAUCGUAUCAUUAUGGACGAUAAGUACCUAACAGCCAGAAGAGUCGGGAUUUAGCUUAUUAUCUACGGUUCUUAUGUAGCGUUACAUACGGGACAUUAUUAACGGGGCUGCUAGCAUGAAACGACUGUUUUUUUUUUAAAUAUUCGAUAAGAACGUUCGAUAACGUUCUGAAAACUCGUCGUUCGACCGCGGUAUAUCUACGUAUCCGGGAUACAAAUUUUAUUAUUAUUGAUGUCUGAAAAAAAAAACAAAAAAAAAUUACGUUUUUAAGCGGCGAGACACUACAGAAUGUACGCUACCGAACGCUGCGAGAUAGUCAACGACGAGAUACCGUGCGACCCCCGCGAAAAAUAAAUAAUACGUGAUUUUUA